GCCCACAUAGCUCAGUAGGUAGAGCGUCGCCUUGGUAAGGCGGAGGUCUCCGGUUCGACCCCGGAUGUGGGCU
rnacentral:tRNA from 1 species